rnacentral:lncRNA from 1 species
AACACUACUCACUACUGGUAGACUGGUAGGUCCUGUGAAGAGAGGGUUUAACUCAAAAAUCUCCAUGGAUUCAACAUCUUCAGCUUCGCAGCCGAAGAAGAGAGGGAGGCCAAAGGGUUCAAAAACCAAGGAGGAUAGAGAAAGCGGCACAAAAGGAGUAGCAGUGAAGAUGAGAGGCGGCGGCGCUGGUGAUAAAAAGGUUGCCAGUACCAAUUUCUGCCGGUACCAAU